AAGAUACUAGUAAAACAUUUAUUACAUUGCCUUGUCAAGACAGAGUUGCAAGUUAGACUCUUGCGUAUCUUA
rnacentral:tRNA from 1 species